ACGCUCGACACCUACGGUAGGCAGCAGUGGGGAAUAUUGCACAAUGGGGGAAACCCUGAUGCAGCGACGCCGCGUGAGCGAAGAAGUAUUUCGGUAUGUAAAGCUCUAUCAGCAGGGAAGAAACUGACGGUACCUGACUAAGAAGCACCGGCUAAAUACGUGCCUGCAGCCGCGGUAAUCUGAGCGGGCUGGCAAGGC
rnacentral:rRNA from 1 species